CUCCCUUCCCUCUUCUUUCCCCACGCCCCCAUAAACCAUCCCUCCUUUCCCCCAUCCCUGCUCACAUGAAGUUUGUCACCAUGGAAGCCUCAUUCAGUUUGCAUCUCACUGAACUUGGGCUUCAUUGCUGCAGCAUUUUGUAGUGAAGUGCAAGGUGGUAACACAACAAGAGAGUGAAAGCCUGGAUGAAGCCUUCGGAGGACACUUGCUAACUUCAUUGCACAGGAGGCCUGUGGAAAUCCUGCAGCUGAGAGAUCUGCAGCUGGACCCAUCAUACUUCACCGUCGGGGCUAUUGAAUUUAAUUAAAGAAAAAUGACCCAGAGACUCUUAGGAAAACUUGAUUCUCUGGAACAAUAUUCACGCAAAAGACUGGCCAAACAUGCAAAGGUUGAAAGCCCUGGACUUGGGAAAUUGCAGUUAAAGCCAUUUGUGACAACCCCAUUGACAAGUGAAUUUAAAGAAGAUUAUGAUCUACCCAGUGCUAGAACAAUAAAUAUUUCCAGGUCUAAACCUGCACUGCAGUUUUCAGAAGAUGAACAGCUCUUCCUACAUCAGCA